AAAAAGGGCUUCUGCGGUGCGUGACACGGGGGGCCCCUGCGGAAUUGAUAUCAAGAGAUUUCAGAAGCACAAUCUUUGUGAGGGGGGGUCGCUGGUACCGCCAGUGCGGCGCCCUG
rnacentral:snRNA from 1 species